rnacentral:rRNA from 1 species
GACGAACGCUGGCGGCGUGCUUAACACAUGCAAGUCGAACGGACGAGUGAGAUAAGUUUACUUAACUCACAAGUUAGUGGCGGACGGGUGAGUAACACGUGGAUAAUCUACCUGCAACACCGGGAUAACGCUGUGAAAACGGUGCUAAUACCGGAUACGUUCCCUUGUGCGCAUGUAUGAGGGAAGAAAGCUCAGGCGGUUGCAGAUGAGUCCGCGGCUGAUUAGCUAGUUGGUGAGGUAAAGGCUCACCAAGGCGAUGAUCAGUAGCCGGCCUGAGAGGGUGAACGGCCACACUGGGAUUGAGAUACGGCCCAGACUCCUACGGGAGGCAGCAGUCGAGAAUAGUCUACAAUGGCCGGAAGGCUGAUAGUGCGACGCCGCGUGAACGAGGGAGCCCUUCGGGUGUAAAGUUCUUUCUUAUACGAGCAGUGCUAUAUAUAUGGAUAGUAUAUAUAGAGGGAUAGUAGUAUAGGAAUAAAGCAACGGA